rnacentral:rRNA from 1 species
AGGGAACGCUGGCGGCAUGCCUUACACAUGCAAGUCGAACGGCAGCGCGGGAGCAAUCCUGGCGGCGAGUGGCGAACGGGUGAGUAAUACAUCGGAACGUGCCCAAUCGUGGGGGAUAACGCAGCGAAAGCUGUGCUAAUACCGCAUACGAUCUACGGAUGAAAGCAGGGGAUCGCAAGACCUUGCGCGAAUGGAGCGGCCGAUGGCAGAUUAGGUAGUUGGUGAGGUAAAGGCUCACCAAGCCUUCGAUCUGUAGCUGGUCUGAGAGGACGACCAGCCACACUGGGACUGAGACACGGCCCAGACUCCUACGGGAGGCAGCAGUGGGGAAUUUUGGACAAUGGGCGAAAGCCUGAUCCAGCCAUGCCGCGUGCAGGAUGAAGGCCUUCGGGUUGUAAACUGCUUUUGUACGGAACGAAACGGUCUUUUCUAAUAAAGAAGGCCAAUGACGGUACCGUAAGAAUAAGCACCGGCUCACUACGU